UACAGAGGGUGCGAACGUUGUUCGGAAUUACUGGGCGUAAAGCGCGUGUAGGCGGCUAUGCAAGUCGGGCGUGAAAUCCCACGGCUCAACCGUGGAAGUGCACUCGAAACUGCAUAGCUAGAGUCCUGGAGAGGAAGGUGGAAUGCUUGGUGUAGAGGUGAAAUUCGUAGAUAUCAAGCGGAACACCGGUGGCGAAGGCGGCCUUCUGGACAGUGACUGACGCUGAGACGCGAAAGCGUGGGGAGCAAACAGG
rnacentral:rRNA from 1 species